AGCCGCCACGGUAAUACGUAGGUCCCGAGCGUUGUCCGGAUUUAUUGGGCGUAAAGCGAGCGCAGGCGGUUAGAUAAGUCUGAAGUUAAAGGCUGUGGCUUAACCAUAGUACGCUUUGGAAACUGUUUAACUUGAGUGCAGAAGGGGAGAGUGGAAUUCCAUGUGUAGCGGUGAAAUGCGUAGAUAUAUGGAGGAACACCGGUGGCGAAAGCGGCUCUCUGGUCUGUAACUGACGCUGAGGCUCGAAAGCGUGGGGAGCGAACAGGAUUAGAUACCCCCGUAGUCCCUGUCUCUUAUACAC
rnacentral:rRNA from 1 species